UCUCUUUCAUUAUUCUGCCAUGUAAGGACACAAUGUUUGUUCCCACUUGCCUUCUGCCAUCCACUAUAGGAGGAUGCCAUAAGAAGGCUGAUACCAGAUGCCAGAGUUCUGAUGUUGGACUUCUCAUCCUCUAGAACUAUGAGAAACAAAGGCACGGAGAGAUUUCAGUUUUGCUUACGAGAACACAGUUGACUUAGCGGAAGGGAGACCCAGAUUUCCACAAUCUGAAUCUGGUGUUCCUUCAAUUCUACUUAUAUGUUGCUCUGCUAUUUAAGCUAUAUCUAAGACAGAUAUGGAGAUGGAAAUUGACACAGUUUAUGGACUGCGAGACAAGAGACAAAUAGUAGCAUAACUAGGGAAAGAAAUUCAUUUUCUCCUAUCUCCAAAUUCAGUAUUUUUUUCAAUGAAAUUAUGCUGACUUUAAUCAGGCUGUGGCCAGCUCUCCAAAAUGUGACACAAAUGCUGGCUAUUGGAAGAUAAGCAGAAAUGCACAGGAAUGGUCAUGUUGUCCAAAGGAACAUGGAUGGAACCUUACAGCAUCUGUUAUAGAAACUACAAGAAAUGCAUCUUUACUCAGAACACAAAAUAGUCAAAAGCAGAAAGUUGGGAAAAAACGUAUCUCAGGCAAAUUCUAAAGGAAAGGAAGGUAGUAUAAGAUAUAUAGCCAUAUUAAUAUUAGAUAAAGUAGAAUUUAACACAAGGAGAACUACCAGAAAAAAAUAAGAAUAUUUCAUAAUGAUAAAAGUUUUAGUCUACUAGAAAAUGUAACAAUUUUAAAUUUGUAUGCGUCCAUCCCAUAAUCUCAGAAUAUAUUAAGUAAAUUAGAUAUAACUUCAUAGGAAAUACACAAAUCAUAGAGGUUUUAACACAUCUCUUUUAGUAACUGAUAGAACAGAUAAAGUUAUAGAAGACCUAAACAAUCCAUUUAACAAAUAUCAAAUAACUUCAAAGUACAAAGUCAUUUCAAAUAGACCUGCAGCAUAUUAAAAAAAUGUUUCAUGUGAUCAGCCUUAAAGCCUCGGAAAAUUUUAAAGGCUUUAAAUCAUGUAUAACAAAGGGGACUUAACUUAGAAACUAAUAAAAAUAACUAGAAAACAUC